AACGAACGCUGGCGGCGUGCCUAACACAUGCAAGUCGAGCGAGAAAGCCCGCAAGGGUGAGUAAAGCGGCGCACGGGUGCGUAACACGUGGGUAAUCUGCCCAGAAGACCGGAAUAACAUCCCGAAAGGGGUGCUAAUACUGGAUAAGACCACAGGGUCCUCGGACCUCGGGGUAAAAAGGUGGCCUCUGUACACAAGCUAUCACUUCUGGAUGAGCCCGCGGCCCAUCAGCUAGUUGGCGGGGUAACGGCCCACCAAGGCUAUGACGGGUAGCUGGUCUGAGAGGACGAUCAGCCACACUGGAACUGAGACACGGUCCAGACUCCUACGGGUGGCAG
rnacentral:rRNA from 1 species